rnacentral:lncRNA from 1 species
UCAUCCAGUUCAAUCCCUUCAUUUUACAGAUCAGGAAAAUAAAAAUCAGAAAAAUUAAGUGAUUUAUUCAAAGUCAAUGGUCAAAUCCAUAAAUAUUUAGUGCUUACUGUGGGCUUGCAUUAUGCUAGAUAUUAAAGGUAAUAAGUGUCAUAAAGAGAUUUUAAAUUCAGUCUUCUGAGUCUAGAACCAAUGCUCUUUAUACAAUAUCAUGUUCCUCAAGGUAAUUAGACCAGAGACUGCUUUUGCCUUUGUAUCCCCAGCACUUAGGACAGUUACUGGCAUCUAGUUGUUCGUCCUUCAUUUUGAAGAAGAGCAGAGUCAUCAAGGGGUAUGUCUUGACUUUUGAGUAAAUUAUAUUUAAAUGUGGCAGAGUUGGGCCAAAUUGUCAGCCUCACUCUUUCUUACAGUCAUCAAAAUCCGGUGACAAGACAAGAGUCAAGAUGAUUGGUGAUGGGCCAUAAAGUAGUAUCUGACCUUGGUUUCAAUGUCUAACCUAUAUCUAACCUCUACAGUGCCUUCUUCAGCCACCUUCCUGACCACUGACCCAAAUUAUUCUCAUCUGACUAUUCUAAGGGGGGAAAUCUUCACAUGGUUGGGCCAUACACAAAUCCCUCAUUGAUCCUAAUGACCAUCCCGCCCCCCCAAGACACCAAGAGUUGUGGCAGAACCUGAGAAGAAGAAGAAGAACAGCAUCCAAAGAUCUCACACAGCUCUUGUGAUACCUUGAGUCUGGACUCAGGGCUCUGUUGUGCUAAGAGCAGGGGUCACCAGACCCUGAGCCUGUUAGAGGCCAGGCUGACAAGCCUGGGUCUUUCCACUUUGGGGGGGGGGAAGGGAGAAAGAUAUUUUUAGACAGACAGGGACUUCCUUUACCCUCUUUCCUAUAAGCUCCAACCUGCAGACAUCUUGCUUAUCUUACUUCUAACCACCAUUUGUUAGAAUAAAGUGUCAGUUAUCUUAAAUUGACUUCCUUGC